ensembl:lncRNA
GCUGCUAUGAUUGGCCGCUGUAUUCAGCGCUUCAGCCUCCUUGAAUGAGAAAUAGGGGUAACCAAGCAACUUCAGUGCUGGGGAGAAGAAGAUAAAAAAAGCAAAAAGAUGACAGGGCUUUACGGGAUUUUCACAAUGAUGGAAGAAUUUUGAAGCUGUUAACAGAAGAAAGAAAAAAAGAGGAAGAGGCAAUGUGAUUUCACCUUGAGUGUCCGGCAAAUGGAAUUAACAAAUGGAUUUUCUUAAACGCGCUUCCUCCCUCUCUCUCCCUCUCUCGCUCGUUGAGGGGGGGGAAUAGAGCGCUCAAAUGAAGGAGACACAGAUGUGGAUUAAAACGCACAAAUGGGACACUUCAGAAAAGCAUCCACUGAGAAAAGUGCUCAGUGCAAGUGACUGUGAUGGGCUGUCAAACCACAUCUAAAGUACUCUACCAAAGAAUAAUAUCCACUCCUGACCUACUCUGAAGAAAAAUAUUUCAUUCGAUCAAUGUCGCAGUCUCCCCCGCAGGGGAAUUACUCUUGAACAAUAGGUGAACCCUAAGAAAAGAGCAACACUGGACCAUGUGAUACUUGACCUUCAAAGAAAGAACUCAGGUGCACUCCAGAAAAUGUCAAAUCGGAUCUGAAGCAGCUCUCAAGAGGAUCGCCCAGCUCAUAAUUCAAGCACUUUUUCAUGUUUUGUUUUAUCAUUACUCAAACACCAUGGGCCAAAAGUGACAGAACGUAGUUAUUUUGGCUGGAUCUUCAUCUAAUGAGGAGUACCAGACAUCUCACCAUGGAUUUGAAGGAGAUUUUCUUCACCAAAGAGCAACAGUGAGAAACAUCAGAGUGGGGGGGGGGAUUGGACACUGGAGGCUUGGAGGAUUAGCUUGGAGUGCUGCUAACCCAUGGUGGAUCUGCUGUGAGUGGGGAAAGGGACUCAGCGGUGGAGGAUGUCAGCAGAGGCCGAACUCCAGCCGGGUGUCAAAACCAGCCAGCGAAAGGAGUCCAGGAGGAUCAAAGGUAUGUUCUUACCUUUGCAACACCAGAGCGUCUGUAACAUAGAUGCUUGUAAUAUAUCAGGCUUUAUUAUGUUUGUUUGUCAAAUGAGAUAAAGGUCUGAGAUAUAACGUUAAGGGAAAAGUACUCAAAAGACACGAAACGUGACAUGACGAAAUGGGAACCUGAAAGCUUUCUUAUCUUCAUCAGGUGGUGAACGUAACUUUUCACCUUUUGGUGAAACAUCUUGGA